rnacentral:rRNA from 1 species
AUUGAACGCUGGCGGCAGGCCUAACACAUGCAAGUCGAACGGUAACAGGAAGCAGCUUGCUGCUUUGCUGACGAGUGGCGGACGGGUGAGUAAUGUCUGGGAAACUGCCUGAUGGAGGGGGAUAACUACUGGAAACGGUAGCUAAUACCGCAUAACGUCGCAAGACCAAAGAGGGGGACCUUCGGGCCUCUUGCCAUCGGAUGUGCCCAGAUGGGAUUAGCUAGUAGGUGGGGUAAAGGCUCACCUAGGCGACGAUCCCUAGCUGGUCUGAGAGGAUGACCAGCCGCACUGGAACUGAGACACGGUCCAGACUCCUACGGGAGGCAGCAGUGGGGAAUAUUGCACAAUGGGCGCAAGCCUGAUGCAGCCAUGCCGCGUGUAUGAAGAAGGCCUUCGGGUUGUAAAGUACUUUCAGCGGGGAGGAAGGGAGUAAAGUUAAUACCUUUGCUCAUUGACGUUACCCGCAGAAGAAGCACCG